AACGAACGCUGGCGGCGCGCCUAAUACAUGCAAGUCGAGCGAGAAGACGUAGCAAUACGUUUGUAAAGCGGCGAACGGGUGAGGAAUACAUGGGUAACCUACCCUCGAGUGGGGAAUAACUAGCCGAAAGGUUAGCUAAUACCGCGUACGCUCCUUGGACUUCGGUUCAGGGAGGAAAGCGAUACCGUGGGUAUCGCGCUCUUGGAUGGGCUCAUGUCCUAUCAGCUUGUUGGNGAGGUAACGGCUCACCAAGGCUUCGACGGGUAGCUGGUCUGAGAGGACGAUCAGCCACACUGGCACUGCGACACGGGCC
rnacentral:rRNA from 1 species